CACACACCUCUUCGUUUCUCUUCCUUUUUCCGUCCCACUUCCAGCGGCACUUUCUCUCAGUCACACUGUCACUGUUCCAUACACUAACACAGAAACUCUCAAAGGAAACACAGAGAUAGUCUCUUAGAUCAAAAGGGAUAAAACUCCGCACGCUUUUAUUUCAUUUUCUUUUGAUGUUUCGUUUUUUCUUGUUCGAUAAGUGUAUCUGAGUCUGACGAUAAUGUCCAUGUAUUCUGAAUCCCAAUUCUCAACUCCUACCAUAACAGGAUUGGCUCACGCCGAUCGUCAAGACACUUCUGUGGUUGAGCUUAUUGAAGCGUUACAAAAUUCUGAAAAGCGGGAGCGUGCUCUUCUCCUUCUAUCCAAGAAUAGGGUAAUUCGUGAAGAUUUAGCACCAUUGUUAUGGCACUCUUUUGGUACUAUCGCUGCACUGCUACAGGAAAUAAUUUCUGUAUAUCCGUCACUGUCUUCUCCAUAUCUCACAGAAAGAGUAUCAAAUCGAGUGUGUAAUGCACUUGCUUUACUUCAGGGGGUAGCAGCGCACUCCAAUACAAAGAUGCUUUUUAUUAAGGGUACUUUUUCUUUCAUUAUAAUCUUUGGCAUAAGCAAGGAAAUUUGGACUUGGAUUUUUGUGGAAGUUCAAUUCACUUCUUCAUAAAGUUUGGUCUCUGAGUUUUUUGGAUUACCUUGUGAGCUCACUCAAAGUAAUUUUUGAAAUAGUUUAAUCUCUUGAAAAUUUGAAGAGUAUGAUUUGCAUGAUUUCUUAUGCUUUUGUAGUCAAUAGUUUGACAAAUUCUCUGUUAGUUUUGAUAGAUUUUUUUUUACUUUAUUAGCUUUCCACUUGCACUGAAUUUGAAAUUUUUCCUAAUGAGGACUUGUGGUCCUUCAUAAGAAUUUAUUAAGCAUUUGAAUGCUUCUAUUUGUUGAUAUUUUUGAUAAGUAGAGACAAAUAUAAUUGAAUUUCAUCCUAUUCAGCUAACAUACCCUUAUAUCUGCACCCCUUUCUUAACAACACAAACAAGGAAAGGCCUCAUGAGUAUCUAAGACUUGCCAGCUUAGGGGUUAUCGGUGCACUAGUGAAGGUUGAUGAUGCACAAGUUAUACACUUCCUUCUUAAUUCUGAAAUAUUUCCUUCUUUCCUACGAUGUAUGGAGGUUGGAGCUGAAUUGUCAAAAACAGUAGCCACGUUUAUAGUUCACAGAAUCCUAUUAAAUGAAGAUGGCCUAAAGUAUUGCUGUAUUCUAGCAGACCGAUUUUUUGCCAUAGGGCAUGUUUUAGGAAACAUGAUUGAAAAACUUGCUGAAGAUGGAAGGCUUGCAGAAGAUAUCUCCAAGCGGCUGCUAAAGCACAUUAUUUGGUGUUAUCAAAGGUUAUCAGAAAAUCCAAGGGCAUGUGACGGGCUUAGAUGUUGCCUUCCCACGAAGUUAAGAGAGCCAUCCUUCAUUAGCGUCCUUCGUGAUGAUGAAACAGCCAUGCAGUGCCUACAGAAGUUAUUUCACAACGUUGCAACUGGACACUGGUCUAGAACACGAACAGUUGGGCAGUCGGUAGGGCAGUCAUUUGGUCGGUUGAUCAGAGGCUAGAUUGGAUGAGCGCAAAGAAAAUAAUCUGUGCAAUCCUUGUCUGGGAGAUUGCAUAUACAUACAUGGUAUAGAUAAUACAUGAUCAUCAUAGCGAUUAGCAAUUAAUAUACAUUCCAAAAGGAGUAGGUUUCUUGCAAGUUAAAAUAGUGAAUCCUCCUUCACCGAGUACGAGUUAUUUCUCUCUCGUUAAACUGCUGAGUAUGCUUACCAGCAAAGUCUGAGGAAUUAAAAGGUUAACAAUGAUAGGAUGUUAGAUUACAUUGAAGUUUGAAACCUUUCCUAAAUAAAGUAGAAAGUUUUUAUAAUAGAUGAACUUCAU
rnacentral:misc_RNA from 1 species